rnacentral:rRNA from 1 species
AGCGAACGCUGGCGGCAGGCCUAACACAUGCAAGUCGAACGAACUCUUCGGAGUUAGUGGCGGACGGGUGAGUAACACGUGGGAACGUGCCUUUAGGUUCGGAAUAACACAGGGAAACUUGUGCUAAUACCGAAUGUGCCCUUCGGGGGAAAGAUUUAUCGCCUUUAGAGCGGCCCGCGUCUGUUUAGCUAGUUGGUGAGGUAAAGGCUCACCAAGGCGACGAUCAGUAGCGGGUCUGAGAGGAUGAUCAGCGACAUUGGGACUGAGACACGGCCCAAACUCCUACGGGAGGCAGCAGUGGGGGAUCUUGCGAAAUGGGCGAAAGCCUGACGCAGCCAGGCCGCGUGAAUGAUGAUGGUCUUAGGAUUGUAAAAUUCUUUCACCGGGGACGAUAAUGACGGUACCCGGAGAAGAAGCCCCGGCUAACUUCGUG